GGACCCGCACAAGUAGUGGAGCAUGUGGUUUAAUUCGAAGAUACGCGCAGAACCUUACCAACACUUGACAUGUUCGUCGCGACUCUAAGAGAUUAGAGUUUUCGGUUCGGCCGGACGAAACACAGGUGCUGCAUGGCUGUCGUCAGCUCGUGUCGUGAGAUGUUGGGUUAAGUCCCGCAACGAGCGCAACCCUCACUUUUAGUUGCCAUCAUUAAGUUGGGCACUCUGAAAGAACUGCCAGUGAUAAGCUGGAGGAAGGUGGGGAUGACGUCAAGUCCUCAUGGCCCUUACGUGUUGGGCUACACACGUGCUACAAUGGUAUCUACAAAAGGCAGCUAAAAAGAAAUUUGGAG
rnacentral:rRNA from 1 species